rnacentral:rRNA from 1 species
UGUACCCCACUAUACCUAGCCGUAAACCUCGAUGGACCUAACACACCCCCCAUCCGCCAGAGAACUACGAGUGAAAAGCUUAAAACUCUAAGGACUUGACGGUGCCCCACAUCAACCUAGAGGAGCCUGUCCUAUAAUCGAUACUCCACGUUAAACCUCCCCCCCCCUUGUAUAAAACCAGCCUAUAUACCGCCGUCGCCAGCUUGCCUAGUGAUAGACAUAAAGCAGGCAAAAUAGUACAACCACUAGCACGUCAGGUCAAGGUGUAGCUCAUGAGGCGGACUAGCGAUGGGCUACAUUUUCUAAACACCAGAAAACACUUCAGGCACUAUGAAACACAAGCCGUUCGGUGGAUUUAGUAGUAAAUCUAGACAAGAAUUGCCUAAUUGAAACACGCCCUGGGGCGCGUACACACCGCG